GCGCAGCAGGCGCGAAUACUCCGCAAUGCGGGCAACCGCGACGGGGCUACCCCGAGUGCCGGGCGAAGAGCCCGGCUUUUGCCCGGUCUAAAACGCCGGGAGAAUAAGCGGGGGGCAAGUCUGGUGUCAGCCGCCGCGGUAAUACCAGCUCCGCGAGUGGUCGGGACGAUUAUUGGGCCUAAAGCGCCCGUAGCCGGCCCGGCAAGUCCCCUCCUAAAUUCCCGGGCUCAACCCGGGGACUGGAGGGGAUACUGCCGGGCUAGGGGGUGGGAGAGGCCGAGGGUACUCCCGGGGUAGGGGCGAAAUCCUAUAAUCCCGGGAGGACCACCAGUGGCGAAGGCGCUCGGCUGGAACACGCCCGACGGUGAGGGGCGAAAGCCGGGGGAGCGAACCGGAUUAGAUACCCGGGUAGUCCCGGCUGUAAACGAUGCGGGCUAGGUGUUGGCUGAGCUUCGUGCUCAGCCAGUGCCGCAGGGAAGCCGUUAAGCCCGCCGCCUGGGGAGUACGGCCGCAAGGCUGAAACUUAAAGGAAUUGGCGGGGGAGCAC
rnacentral:rRNA from 1 species